GACGAACGCUGGCGGCGUGCUUAACACAUGCAAGUCGAACGGAAAGGCCCUGCUUUUGUGGGGUGCUCGAGUGGCGAACGGGUGAGUAACACGUGAGUAACCUGCCCUUGACUUUGGGAUAACUUCAGGAAACUGGGGCUAAUACCGGAUAGGAGCUCCUGCUGCAUGGUGGGGGUUGGAAAGUUUCGGCGGUUGGGGAUGGACUCGCGGCUUAUCAGCUUGUUGGUGGGGUAGUGGCUUACCAAGGCUUUGACGGGUAGCCGGCCUGAGAGGGUGACCGGCCACAUGGGGACGGGGUUACGGCCCAGACUCCUAGGGGGGGCAGCAGUGGGGAAUAUGGCACAAGGGGCGGAAGCCGGAUGCAGAAACGCCGGGUGCGGGAUGACGGCCUUGGGGUUGUAAACCGCUUUCGCCUGGGACGAAGCGUGGGUGACGGUAAUGGGGAAAGAAGCACCGGCUAACUACGU
rnacentral:rRNA from 1 species